AGUGAACGCUGGCGGCGUGCUUAACACAUGCAAGUCGAACGGAUCAAAGUAGCUUGCUAUUUUGGUUAGUGGCGCACGGGUGAGUAAUGUAUAGCUAACCUGCCCUUUAGUGGGGGACAACAGUUGGAAACGACUGCUAAUACCCCAUACUCCUUCUUGUCAUAAGGCGAGUCGGGAAAGAUUUAUUGCUAAAGGAUGGGGCUUUAUGGUAUCAGCUAGUUGGUGAGGUAACGGCUCACCAAGGCUAUGACGCCUACCUGGUCUGAGAGGAUGAUCAGGCACACUGGAACUGAGACACGGUCCAGACUCCUACGGGAGGCAGCAGUGGGGAAUAUUGCACAAUGGAGGAAACUCUGAUGCAGCAACGCCGCGUGGAGGAUGACGCAUUUCGGCGUGUAAACUCCUUUUAUAAGGGAAGAUAAUGACGGUACCUUAUGAAUAAGCACCGGCUAACUCCGUG
rnacentral:rRNA from 1 species